GAUUCCGGCAUAAGGCAGAAGGGGAAGACUCUUACCUAAGAGUCUCACAAGCACUGCAACAGCCAGUAGAUGAAUAAUGGGAACAAACUGAUUAAGACCAUAUAUGAGACCCACUGGGGGCUCCAGAAAAGACUGGGAACUUUGUAGUAGAGACAAUAUCACUAGUGAAGACUGGACAAAGGUGUGUUCAGCAUUUCAGGACAAGACAUCUAUUAGAUCAAGUAUGAUUUCUGACAGCUAAUUCACCCAUUCAUUCAAUAAAUAUUUUUAGAGCAUCUAAUAUACACCAAGAAUUAUGCUAAAUGCUGUGGAAUACAAAGCAAAUUUUCCAGUAGCCAAAGUGAAAUAGGAAAUAAGGCAUUUUCUCAUAUUAAUAAAGCAUUGAUUUAAAUGUUCAAGGUCAUGAGAAGAUUGCUGAGGAGGCAGUCAAAAUUGUGAACAUUGAUUUUUUUAAAAUGUACAUAAAAAGAUAAAUGAGGGGAUUGUUUGAGUUGAAUGUCAACGAGAAAGAGAGAGAGAGAGAGAGAGAGAGAGAGAGCGCUCGGGUGCUAACUACUACCUGCUUAAGUAUAACUCAAUCUACUAAAAAGAAAGAAAGAAGCAAAAAAGAGAAACACUUCAUAUCGUACCAGUCUCUUCUUUUUUUUCCAUGUUCUUCCUUACUUGGUUUUUAAAGCUUUAAGCCAUUUUACUGUGCAUCAAUGUAGAUAAAGAAUAGCCAGAGAGUCUUUGCUUUGGGUCAGGUGCAGGGUAAUUCUUGCAUGAAAUUAGCUAUUUCUUGGCAGAGCUAAAAAUAACAAACUGUCUGAGAUGCUGCCAUGGCUCAUCCAGCUUUCAAGCAAGCUUUUCUAAUUUCUGACAUGGAGAUCUGAUCUUCUGUUCAUGGCUAUAACGCACCUGAAGAAAGCAUUUCCUGUGGAUAUUGACAGAAAGAUAUCACGACUUUCAGAGUCUAGUAUUUCAGGAAAUAAAUGUCAUUAUGGACUCAAGAUUACAUAUGCAAAUUCAGCCCUAUACAUGGCAGAAAAGGAACAUGAUUACAUUUAUUAUGUAGAGCUGACCAUUCACACUGUGAAUUGGGUGCUCCUAGUACAUGGUGUAGACAUGUAGUUACUAUAAAAGUAAGAAAGAAAUGGGUGCUUGACUUCAGCAAGAGAGGUAAGGUAAUGCCUGAUGGGGAAAGUUAAGCUAGACCUUCAGGAAUGUUGAAGGAAGAAAAUACAUGUUGAAGGAAUAAAAUAGAUGUUUGGAGAUGGGAUUACAGGUUGUGGGGGGCAUGCACAUAGGAAGCAUACAAAGGCCAUAUGUCCAGUGAAAGAAAGAUAUAAACUCCUAUAAAAUUAAGUACAAAAAAUAUAGUUCUCAAAUAUAAAUCCUGUUGUAUAUAUAUUGUCUCAUUACAGAGUAUAGUUGGACUUGGUCAUUUUACAGUCU